rnacentral:rRNA from 1 species
CCUUCUAGAAAAAAAUUAGAGGUUGAGCCUGCCCAAUGCUUUUGUAAAUGGCUGCAGAAUUCAUAACUGUACUAAGGUAGCAUAAUAAUUUGCUCUUUCAUUGAGAGCUAGAAUGAACGGUUUGACUAAAUCUAAUCUGUCUCUAAUUAAAUUUUGGAAAUUGAACUGUGAGUAAAAAUGCUUACGUUUUAGAGAGGGACGAGAAGACCCUGUAGAACUUUGAAUCUUUUAUCAGAUUUUACCUGGGAAGGGGUGUGGAAAACUUUUUUUAAAAAAAAACCGAUUAGUUGAAACAGACGAUCCCGAACAGAAAAAAAGAAAAAGUUACUCUCAGGGAUAACAGCGUUAUUCUAGAUAAUUUAGCUCUUAUGGAUUAUUUGGUUUACGACCUCGAUGUUGAAUUAGGUCACCUUUUUGACGAAGAAAGCAUAAGAGAGACGUCGAGUCUGUUCGACUGUUGGAAAAACC